rnacentral:rRNA from 1 species
GCUAAAUUUAAAUUAAUUACCCAAGGACUAAAGCUUUAGAGCUAAAACUUAACAAUCAUGGCGGCUAGAAUAAUUCAGGGGAACUUACCUACUAAACGAUAACCCACGAGUAAAUUAUCUUUACUUUAAAGCUUGUAUACCGCCGUUUAGUAUUGAAUUAAGUUUAAUACAAGAUCUUAAUAGAUUAGCACAGGUUAUGGUGCAGCACAUAGUAAAGGAUUGGCGAGUUACAUUAAGUAUUUCUUAUCGGAUAUAAUAAGUAAACAAAUUAUUUGAAGAUGGACUUGACAGUAAAUUUUAAUAUAAUUUUAAAUUGAAUCUUUAUAUUUCUAGUGU